UCUGCCUCCCAAGUGCUGGGAUUAAAGGCAUGUGCCACCACUGCCCGGCUAGAUCUGUUUUAUAGCACCCAUGACCAUCAGUCCAGGGGUGCAACUGUCCACACUGGACUGGGCCUUUAUAUAUCAUCAUUAACGAAGUGUCCUACAGACUGAAUGCAGGCCAAUCAUAUGGAGGCAUUUUCUCAAUUAAGAUUCUUUCCAGGGCCUAGUUUAUGUUAAAUUAUCAUACUAGCCAGCACAGUUGAGUGUCUUCCAUAUUUUGGAUAAGUAAUCUCUUUAUCAGAUGUAAAUUUGCAAGUAUUUUAUUCCACUCUAAAGCUUCCUCACUCUUUUUUUUUUUAAAGAUUUAUUUAUUUAUUAUAUGUAAGUACACUGUAGCUGUCUUCAGACACUCCAGAACCAGAAGAGGGAGUCAGAUCUCGUGAUCGGAUGGUUGUGAGCCACCAUAUGGUUGCUGGGAUUUGAACUCCUGACCUUCGGAAGAGCAGUCGGGUGCUCUUACCCACUGAGCCAUCUCACCAGCCCGCUUCCUCACUCUUGUUUCCUUUGUUGUACAGAGCUUCAGUUUGAUACAAUUCCUUUUGUCUCUUUUUGCUUUUGUUGCUUGUGCAAACUUGCCAAAAAGCCUUUGCCUGUGUUUUAUUUUAGAAAUUUCAUAACUCCAUAUCUCUUAAUCCACUUGGAGAUACUUUUUUGUAAAUAGUGAGAGGUAUGAAUCUAUUCAUAUUUCUACAUGUGGUUAUUUAGUUUUCCAAAAACCAUUUUUUGAGUAGUCUACUACUAAAUCAGACAUAUUUUGCCCAUCAUACAGUGUGCAUAUCAUGAGUAAAGUUUUGAAAAGAGAGUUUAUUCUCAAGACUUAACACAUUAGCAUCAGGAAAGAUACACAAGUUUCAAAUCUGUUUUGGGGUAUUUUUGGAAUAAAGAAGUUGAGUGAUUUAAGGCAUGUAUUAAAAUGAAAUAAUCAGUUGUACGUGCAUAUGUAAUCAGAUUUCUUGGUUCUUCCUAGCAUGCAUAUUCAGAAAAUGGAACUCUAGCCUGAUCUGAGUAUGAGUUUUUCGUCCUACUGAGAUGUCACAUGUUUUAGACACUUGAUUAGACUAAAAUCAUGACUUGGAUUCAAUAAAAAUGUUUACAUAUUUAAAAAAAUAACCAAGACGGCCGUUUUUGUCAUAAUUCAUCAGUGUUGGACUAUGGUAUUUUUAUUUUGUUUUACUUAAAUAAGUGUUUUGCCUGCAUAUGUGUCUGGUAGCCAUGGAGACCAGAAGAAGGCAUUGGAUCUCCUUGGACUGGAGUUAAAGUUGGUUAUGAGCUGGAAAUCAGGUCCUCUGCAAGAGUAGCUAGUGCUCUUAACUUCUGAGCCAUCUCUCCAGUUUAUUAAAAGUCAAAGCAAAUAACUAAGGCAAGUGACUGUUUAGUUGGAUUUUUCCUAAGUUUCAACAUUAUCCUUUCUGUUUAUGUUUUUUUUUUUCUCUCUUUGUUGCAGAUUUGUUAACUGUAAGCUAAUGGUUUCAUUCCUAUGGUUUCUAGAAGUUGUGUUCCUUUGCCCAUGUGUCUCUAUUUAUGCGUUUGUGAGUUCUCUAGCUUUGUAGUAUAUUUUGACAUCAGGUAAUAUGAUACCUUCUCCAGCUCUUUUCUUUUGCCUAAUAUUACUUUAGCUUUGCUGGUCUUUUGUAGUUCCCAUACACAUCUUUGAAUUUUUUCUAUCUCUUUGAAAAAUGCCAUUGAUAUUUUCAUCAGGUUUCCAUUGACAAUUUUCUGAGGGUUUCUACUGCUGUGAUAAAGCAUCAUGACCAAAAGUAACUUAGGGAGGAAAGGGUUUAUUUCAUCUUACACUUUCACAUCACUGUCCAUUAUCAAAGGAAUUCAGGUCAGGAACUCAAGACAAGAACCUGGAAGUAGGAACUGAAGCAGUAGCCACAGAAGAGCACUGCUUCCUGGCUUGCUCACCCUGUUUUCUUCUACAUCCAGGACCACCAGCCUACAAUUGGGCUGGGUCCUCCCAUAUCAAUCA
rnacentral:lncRNA from 1 species